rnacentral:rRNA from 1 species
UACGUAGGCAGCGAGCGUUGUUCGGAGUUACUGGGCGUAAAGCGUGCGUAGGCGGUGGUCCAAGUCUGGUGUGAAAUCUCCCGGCUUAACUGGGAGGGUGCGCCGGAAACUGGGCCGCUGGAGUACGGGAGAGGCAAGCGGAAUUCCAGGUGUAGCGGUGAAAUGCGUAGAUAUCUGGAGGAACACCGGUGGCGAAGGCGGCGUUCUGGACUGUCUCUGACACUGAAGAACGAAAGCCAGGGGAGCAAACGGG